UUCAUCGCUCUGACCAAUGAAGUCCUCUAUUUAACCACAGAACAGUUACAGCAUGGCACAGUAGCAUUAUUAGCUUGUCCCACCCUACCUUACCAGUGUUCCUAGGUAAAAAUCUGACGGGACCACCUGUAAGAGUAAGGCGAUAGUUCAGACUCCAUGCUCAUUCAAUCCUUAUCUCUG
ensembl:misc_RNA